AAGACAUUCAGUCUUACUGUUAAUGAAACUGACAAACAUGAAAUCCAUCAACAUGAUGAAGAUGUUCAUACUUCUGAAGGAGGAGAAACAUGUCUGGUUUAUAUAGUUGUGAUCUCUUGUGCUGUUGGAUUUCUGAUGAUUGUAGCUUCACUUCUGAUGUUCUUCAUCUGCAGAAAACACACAAACACAC